UGGGGAAUAUUGCACAAUGGGCGCAAGCCUGAUGCAGCAACGCCGCGUGAGCGAAGAAGGCCUUCGGGUCGUAAAGCUCUGUCCUAGGGGAAGAAGAAGUGACGGUACCCAAGGAGGAAGCCCCGGCUAACUACGUGCCAGCAGCCGCGGUAAUACGUAGGGGGCGAGCGUUAUCCGGAAUUAUUGGGCGUAAAGAGUACGUAGGUGGUUUUGUAAGCGCGGGGUGAAAGGCAGUGGCUUAACCAUUGUUAGCCUUGCGAACUGCAAGACUUGAGUGCAGGAGAGGGAAGCGGAAUUCCUAGUGUAGCGGUGAAAUGCGUAGAUAUUAGGAGGAACACCAGUGGCGAAGGCGGCUUUCUGGACUGUAACUGACACUGAGGUACGAAAGCGUGGGGAGCAAACAGGAUUAGAUACC
rnacentral:rRNA from 1 species